rnacentral:rRNA from 1 species
CACAGCUCAAUACACUAAAUACCCACAGAGACAGCAAACCCCUAGUCAAACAUUGAGUCAUACUAUGUCAAUAGCAGUACCUAUGCUAAAACUAGUAACAAGAAAACUUCUCUCCGCACCUGUGUGCCCCAGAAAUAGAAAAACUACUGGACACUAACAAAACCCGCAUACUGUCAACCCAACACAGGAGUGCAUCAAAGAUGGUUAAAAGUUAUAUAAGGAACUCAGCAAACCCCCGCCAUCCCAACUGUUUACCAAAAACAUAGCCUUUAGCCCCACAAGUAUUAAAGGUCAUGCCUGCCCAGUGAAACAUUUUCAACGGCCGCGGUAUCCUAACCGUGCAAAGGUAGCGUAAUCACUUGUCUUUUAAAUAAAGACUCGUAUGAACGGCUAAAUGAGGAUGGGCCUGUCUCUUUUAACUGACCAGUGAAACUGAUCUUCAAGUACAAAAGCUUGAAUAUGCCCAUAAGACGAGAAGACCCUGUGGAGCUUAAAAUCAAUACUAUAACCGAACUUUAACAUAGUACAAAGAUUUUCAGUUGGGGCGACUUCGGAACAAAACAAAACUUCCGAGCACAGAGCCACCCGCUCUCACUAAGACCAACAAGUCAAAGUAAACACCCUGACCCAGUCUUACUGAACAACGAACCAAGUUACCCCAGGGAUAACAGCGCAAUCUUCUUCAAGAGUUCCUAUCGACAGGAAGGUUUACGACCUCGAUGUUGGAUCAGGACACCCAAAUGGUGCAGCAGCUAUUAAAGGUUCGUUUGUUCAACGAUCAACAGU